CGCGGGUUCUCCGGGCGCCCGCUUUCUUAGCCCCGGGAUCCCCGUUUAGCGUGGCCUGGGAUACUUUCCUGUAUCCGUCAGGAAGAAAAGCCCGAGGCAGGAGAGGGCCGCCGCCCAGGCCCCGGUGGGAGUCUGACACCCUCUUCUGGCACUUUAUCAAGCAGAAGCAGUUACGGCAUCAUCUGACUUCCUAGUAUUUUUGUCUGCUUUCUAGAGAAGUAGGGCAAAGAGGAAAGAUGAAGAACCUCGGUCUUGGAAUCCUUUCCCUGGAAAGCCCAUGAGACAGAUCACAGUGGUCAGCAGACUAUGGAUGGGAGCAAACUUCACUGUGACUAGGAAUAAGUCUCCCGGGAAGCUCAACAGCCACUACUCCACAAGCUACCUUUACCAUCCUCAGCAGGACCAGCAGUCUUGGUAGCUGCGGCCACUGUAGGUUCUAACCAUAAUUAAAUGUACAUGAUUCAUGAAUUGAGUAAAGACUUAAAAAAUUUUUUAACUUGCACUUUAAUUAAAUGUAUGUGGGUGUUAUCUCACAUUUUUUUCUUUAAAAAAUUUUUUUUUAGUUAAGGUAUAAUUGAUAUAUGACAAAUUAGUUUCAGGUAUAUGACUUAUUAAUGAUUUGAUUGAUACUGGUAUAUACUGUAAAAUGAUCACAAUAUGUCUAGUUAGCAUUGGUCACCUUACACAGUUAAAUUUUUUUUCUUGUGAUUGAGAACUUUUAAGAUGUACUCUUUUAGCAACUUUCAAAUACACAGUACAGUAUUAUUAACUAUCAUCUUCAUGCUGUAUAUUCCAUCUCCCCAUGACUUAUUUAUAUCCAGACAAGUUUGUACCUUUUGAUCCCCUUCACCCAUUUUUCCCACUCCCCCACCUCCUGCCUCUGACAACCACCAAUCUGUUCCUUGUAUUUAUGAGCUUGGUUUUGGUUUUGGAUUCCACAUGUAACUGAGAUCGUACGGUGUUUGUCUUCCUCUGUGUGAUUUGUUUCACUUAGUAAAAUGCCCUCGAGGUCCAUCCAUGUUGUUAUAAAUGGCAGGAUUUCCUCCUUUAUGGCUUAAUAUUCCAUUGUGUGUGUAUAUAUAUAUGCCACAAUUUCUUAUCCGUCAGUGGACACUUAGAUUGUUUCCUUAUCUUGGCUGUUGUCAAUAAUGCUAUUACAAUAAUACUAUUGCAAAUAAUACCACAAAUAAACAUGGGAGUGAAGAUACCUUUUUGGGUUAGUUUUCAUUUUCUUUGGAUCAAUUCCCAGAAGUAAAAUGGCUGGAUCAUAUGGUAGUUCUAUUUUUAAUUUUUUGAGGCACCUCCCAACCAUUUUCCAUAGUAGCUGCACCAACUUACAUUCCCACCAAUGGUGCACAGGGGCUCUCUUGUCUCCACAUCCUCACCAACAUUUCCUGUUUUUUUUAUAAUAGCUAUUCUAACAGUUGUGAGAUGAUACACAUUGUGGUUUUCAUUUGCAUUUCCCUGAUGAUUAGGGAUGUGGAGCAUCUUUUCAGGUACCUCUUGGCCACUUCUUCCUUGGAGAAAUGUCUAUUCAGAUCUUCUGUCCAUUUUUUAAUCAGAUUGUUUGCUUUUUGCUAUUGAGUUGUAUGAGUUCUUUAUAUAUUUUGGAUACUAAGCCCCAUCAGGUACCUGGUUUGCAAAUAUUUUCUUCCAUCCAGUAGGUUGCCUUUUCAUUGUGUUAAUGGUUUCCUUUGCUGAGCAGCAGCUUUGAGUUCGAUGUCAUCCCACCUGUUUAUUUUUGCUUUUGGUGUCAUUCAAAAACACCUCACCGAGAGCUAUCUCAUGGGGCUACUGCCUGUUCUCUUCGUUUUAUGGCUUCAGGUCUCAUGUCCAAGACUUUAGUCCAUUUUGAGUUAAUUUUUGUGUAUGGUAUAAGACAGUAAUCUAGUUUCAUUCUUUUGCAUGUAGCUGUCCAGUUUUCCCACCACCAUUUAUUGAAGAAACUGACCUUUCCCCUUGUAUAUUCUUGGCUCCUUUGUCACAAUUAAACAUAUAUAGGUAUCCCCAGUUUUUUUUAAAGUUUGAGUUAUUCUACUUAGCUUUUAGGAAAGACCUACAUUUGUACCUGUUUUCUCUAACCAAAAGAAAUCUGAAGAGGAUUUUUAUUUUUAUGAGAAAAGAUAAAAAACAAAAGUAUUUGUCAUUUUGCAGUGAGCUGUUACAGAGACAGCUUUCCCCUGAGCAGCAAGAGCAGCCCCACCCAGCUCCUGCUCUGGGAAUUAGUAUCUCAGCAGCAAGCUGCCAGACAUUUGAACUAAGCCUCUAUGCUGUAUCUUGAUUUAGUCGGUGCAUCUGCCAGGAAGAUGUGUCCCUAAAGUACCUGAAAAGCCUAACAGGUUAUUUUUUGGGUCUGGAGUGCCAAAAAAACACAUCCAUAUGAAUGAAUGGCAAUUCUCUGCUUUAUAUCAUAUUGAGUUACUGAAGGUUUCAUAGGAAUUUUCCACUUUUGGACGUGAGAAACCUGUAUGUGUGGGUUACUGGGCUCUCUGUUCCAUUCAUCUUUCUGUUGUACCAGUACCAUACUGUUUUGAUUAGUAUAGCUUUAAGUUUGAAACCAGGGAGCAUGAUGCCUCCUGCUUUGGCUAAUUGGGGUCUUUUGUAGUUCCAUACAAAUUUCAGAAUUGUUCUAUUUUUUUGAAAAAUGCCAUUGACUUUUGAUAGGGAUUGCAUUGAUGCUGUAAAUCAUUUUGGGUAGUGUGGCCAUUUCAACAAUAUUAAUUUUCCCAAUCCAUAAACACUACCUUUGCACUUAUAUCUUCAGUUUCUUUCAUUACUAUCUUAGUUUUCACUGUGUAUGUCUUUCACCUUGGUUAGUUUACUUCUUGGUAUUUUAUUCUUUUUGAUGCACUUGUAAAUAAGAUUGUUUCCUUUAUUUCUCUGAUAGCUCAUUAUUACUAUGUAAGACAUGCAACACACUUUUGUAUCUUGGUUUUCAAUCCUGUAACCUUACUGAAUUUUUCUGAGUAUUUGGUGGUGUCUUUAGGUUUUCUAUAUAUAGUACCAUGUCAUCUGCAAAUAGUCAUGGCUUUGCUUCUGCCUUUCCAAUUUGGAUGCCUUUUGUCUCUUCAUCUUGUCUGAUUACCCUGGCUAGGACUUCCAGGGCUAUGUUGAAUGAAAGUAGUGAGACUGGGCAUCCUUGUUCUGUUUCUGUUCUGAGUAAAAGCAUUCAGCUUUUCACCAUUAUGUUAGUUGUGGGCUUGUCAUACAUAGCCUUUAUAAUGUUGAGGUACAUUCCCUCUAUACCCACUGUUUUUGUCAUAAAUGGAUGUCGAAUUUUGUCAAAUGUUUCUUCUGCAUCUGUUAAGGUGAUUAUAGGAUUUUUUCAUUUUGUUAGUCUAUCAUACUGACUUGUGGAUGUUGGUAUCUUGCAUCCCUGGGAUAAAUCCUACUUGGUCAUGGUGUAUGAUCCUUUUAAUGUAUUGUUAAAUUCAGUUUGCAGAUAUUUUGUUGAGGAUGAAUAAAGGCUUUUAACACUUGGAAUAAACAUCUGAUGGGGAGGCUCUUAAGGAAAAGAGCCUAUCUGGUUUGAGUAUAACGUUUAAUGUUAAGAUACAGCAGAUAAGCAGUGUUGGUACAAAAUUAAGGUUCAAUUCUAGUCAAAGAGUUACAGCCUAGGCACCUAGAUAAAAUAUUGGUCCUGUCACCCA